rnacentral:lncRNA from 1 species
CCACAGAAUGUGGGUUAACUUGCAGGACAACAACUACCGGUACUGUUAGUCGCUAGGUGGGACUCGCUGAGAUAAACAACUAGAGGAAAGGUUAGCUUGCGCAACGGGGACUUUAAAGGUAACCUGGAAGUGAUAUCGUGAAAUAAGUUAUAUAAUGCAACUUGUUGAGAUUCGAGAAUACAUAUCGGCAACAAUAUCAAGACUUACCUUGCCCUGACAGCAUUGAACUCGCCGGUAGUUUUUCCAAAGACAAGUUGCUGUAAUGAUAAAUGAACAAGUCCCCACAGCACCAGAAUAAAUACAGUCACCAGUGCGACUCCGACGCCUUCGUGUAGCAGAUUAAACAUGAACGGGCCAAAACGGACAUGGCAGCAGGUGAAAAUCAAAUACAAGAACAUUCUGCAGAAUGCAGUGAAAAAGAAUACCCACAGACAAGGCAUGGGUGGUGGGUCACCAAAGGCUGACCUUACCCCAGCAGAGGACAUGGCCUUGGAGCUAAAUAAAGGCAGGCCCGUCUUAGAGGGGAUCCCUGGGGGGAAAGAGACGAGCAUAGGUUCCUCCCAAGAUGCCACCCGCUUCAUUCAAGUGUCUGGCAGCACUGUGUUCCUGUUAGAGCCACCAGCACAAGCACCAGACGAUGCUGAUCCAGGUGAAGGCCCCAGUGCAGCAGCAACAGCACAUGAUGGAGACGAUGAUGAGGAGGAGACCAUCUCUCUGGAUUCCAGAAGGCAUGAGGACCCAGAUGCUAUACAGUGGGAAAACCAGCCUGGCAACAUAGUGCGUAUUAAUAAAAGGACACCACAUCCUGCCAAAUUCCAGCUGCGCUAAUUGUAUUGUGUUCACAGAGCUCACAAGCUAUCAGAAAGUUGUAUGGCAACCACCUCCGGCGCCAAAUAGAACUGGCAGACAUAGACAUUCAGUACAAGAAGAAAAAGAUGGAAAAUCUUGCACUGGAGUCCGAAAUAAAAAAGAGGACAAUUAGGAAACUGGACCUUGAAAUAAAAAAACUUGAGAGGGAGCUCCAAGAAGAUGACACAGCUCAAAAUAAAAAUUAGGUAUAUUCUCGUAAAGUCAAGUGAGCCAUGACAUAUGAGCUCUUAUUGUGAGCACACAGGACGGUGGCAUCUUUCUAAG